CAAUAGUUUGGCUCGACCGGAGAGAAAAGAUGCAGAGAAACACAAAUUCAACAGAGUUCAUAGUUGUGGCAGUGGUUCCAAUCUACCUACCAUUUAAAAACGCAGAGGAAAAAAAUGCUCCUUUUCAAUUAAACCUGUGAGGAAAUGCAGAAAAUUCUCAUCCACCAAAUUUCAAAGAACUUGAACCUAUUACUGUGGCUACUUCUUAAUUUAUAUAUCAAAGCAUGUCAAGUUUCCUGUACAAUAAAAACAAAGAGAAAUCAUAAUAUAUCAACUAGAAAUAAGGGUAAGUUUCCAGUAGCAGAGGCAUCAUUAUAGGGAUUGAAAACAUUAUAAAUUUAGCUUUUUUUUUACUUAAAAUUGAAAAUCAUCACCUAUAUUGUAACCUACAAAUUUAUAGAUUUACACUUUUUCAUGUGGCAAAGAUGAUCAACAAUCUAUGUCUAAAAUCACACAAAGAUAGAACAACCUAAUCUAAUAUAUGGCAAGAAGAUAAUUUAAACAUGGAUUAAAAUUAACAACUUCAAUUUUUAUCUUUAAAUAUUUCCUCAUAUACAUUCACAAACCACAACAAGCAAGUGAGGGUGUUUCAAAUUCUUAAUCAUCAAAUAAUUAUCUUCAUUUAAAAAAUAAAUUACCUAGAAUGAACACACCUCAGAAUAAACAAUAUUAAGCAAUUGAAAACAAAUAAAUGAUACCUAUAUUGGAUAUCACACUAAAAUCCAAAAUCAAAUGAAUUGAAAAAUCAAGGAGGUGGAAAGAUUAUAGCUUAUGGGCCUUGUAAAUUUGCAACAUUGAACUGAAAGGAAGGUUAAAUUAAUUGAAAAAUCAAGAAACCAAAGCAUCAGGGUUUCAAAUCAAACUUGUGUACGAGGGAUGAACGUCGUCGUCGUGAGUGAAGGGAUUGGCAAAAAGAUCCUUUGCGUGAUAGUUUCUUACUUUCUUUCUUUCUGUCAAUGAAAGGCAUCGAAGAAGGGGUGAGGGCGACAAAUUUGGUGUUCGAGCGUGUUUGAUAGAGGUGUUAAUAACAACAAUUUAGGGCUUGAAGGAGAGAAAACGAAGGAUAUAGGGUUCGAUUGUGAGGUGAUGGGUCGAAACGAAGAACAUAGGGUUCAAUAGAGACGACGAGAUCGGCAGACCUCGACUGCCUCUGUAUGAGUCUUUUCGCUAAUAUGCGCAACAGUAAGACGACAACGAUGGAGGUUUGACGGAGAUGAAUGGCUCUGUGGUUAUUUUUUUUAAAAUCCGGAAUUGAAUAAUGC
rnacentral:lncRNA from 1 species